rnacentral:rRNA from 1 species
GACAGAGGUGCCAAGCGUUAGGCGGAAUCACUGGGCUUAAAGCGUGUGUAGGCGGAUUUGUAAGUACCUUGUGAAAUCCCACAGCUCAACUGUGGAACUGCUUGGUAUACUGCUUAUCUUGAGCCACUUAGGGGCUGUCGGAACAAAUGGUGGAGCGGUGAAAUGCGUAGAUAUCAUUUGGAACGCCAACGGUGAAAACAGACAGCUGGGAGUGUGCUGACGCUGAGACACGAAAGCCAGGGGAGCGAACGGG